CCUACGGGAGGCUGCAGUGAGGAAUAUUGGUCAAUGGACGAGAGUCUGAACCAGCCAAGUAGCGUGAAGGAUGACUGCCCUAUGGGUUGUAAACUUCUUUUAUAUGGGAAUAAAAUGUUCCACGUUUGGGAUUUUGUAUGUACCAUAUGAAUAAGGAUCGGCUAACUCCGUGCCAGCAGCCGCGGUAAUACGGAGGAUCCGAGCGUUAUCCGGAUUUAUUGGGUUUAAAGGGAGCGUAGGUGGAUUGUUAAGUCAGUUGUGAAAGUUUGCGGCUCAACCGUAAAAUUGCAGUUGAAACUGGCAGUCUUGAGUACAGUAGAGGUGGGCGGAAUUCGUGGUGUAGCGGUGAAAUGCUUAGAUAUCACGAAGAACUCCGAUUGCGAAGGCAGUUCACUGGACUGCAACUGACACUGAGGCUCGAAAGUGUGGGUAUCAAACAGGAUUAGAUACCCUAGUAGUC
rnacentral:rRNA from 1 species